GUAGCUAGUUACCUGGCUCCACAGGCCAUGAUACUGGGUUUCUUGGAAUUGGUGGAGAAAACAACGUUUUUCUUUUACCAAAAUUCUGCCUCAUGUGACUUUUCAACAGUGGAACCUUUUUAAAAGAGAAUGUGAGAUCCAGGAGUCUGGGAAAUUGUUCCAUGGCUUCAGGACUUCCCCAGCUUUGUGUAUGGGAACUGUUCUAGAAAUUAUGGGGAAAACUUGAUAUUGGAUAAGACCUGUGAUUCAGCAUGCACAUGUACACAAAUAAAAACAGUCUAUCAGCUUUAGAUAUGGA